rnacentral:rRNA from 1 species
AUUGAACGCUGGCGGCAUGCUUUACACAUGCAAGUCGGACGGCAGCGGGGUAGUGCUUGCACUACUGCCGGCGAGUGGCGAACGGGUGAGUAAUAUAUUGGAACGUACCGAGUAAUGGGGGAUAACCAAUCGAAAGAUUGGCUAAUACCGCAUACGCUCUGAGGAGGAAAGCAGGGGACCUUCGGGCCUUGCGUUAUUCGAGCGGCCAAUAUCUGAUUAGCUAGUUGGUGGGGUAAGGGCCUACCAAGGCGACGAUCAGUAGCGGGUCUGAGAGGAUGAUCCGCCACACUGGAACUGAGACACGGCCCAGACUCCUACGGGAGGCAGCAGUGGGGAAUUUUGGACAAUGGGCGCAAGCCUGAUCCAGCCAUGCCGCGUGUCUGAAGAAGGCCUUCGGGUUGUAAAGGACUUUUGUUAGGGAAGAAAAAGGAGCGGUUAAUACCCGUUUCUGCUGACGGUACCUAAAGAAUAAGCACCGGCUAACUACGUG